rnacentral:rRNA from 1 species
UCAUUAAAUCAGUUAUCGUUUAUUUGAUAGUACCUUACUACUUGGAUAACCGUGGUAAUUCUAGAGCUAAUACAUGCUAAAAACCUCGACUUCGGAAGGGGUGUAUUUAUUAGAUAAAAAACCAAUGCCCUUUCGGGGCUUCUUGGUGAUUCAUAAUAACUUAACGAAUCGCAUGGCCUUGCGCUGGCGAUGGUUCAUUCAAAUUUCUGCCCUAUCAACUUUCGAUGUUAAUGUAUUGGAUUAACAUGGUUUCAACGGGUAACGGGGAAUUAGGGUUCUAUUCCGGAGAGGGAGCCUGAGAAACGGCUACCACAUCCAAGGAAGGCAGCAGGCGCGCAAAUUACCCAAUCCCGACACGGGGAGGUAGUGACAAUAAAUACUGAUACAGGGCUCUUUUGGGUCUUGUAAUUGGAAUGAGUACAAUUUAAAUCCCUUAACGAGGAACAAUUGGAGGGCAAGUCUGGUGCCAGCAGCCGCGGUAAUUCCAGCUCCAAUAGCGUAUAUUAAAGUUGUUGCAGUUAAAAAGCUCGUAGUUGAACCUUGGGCCUGGCUGGCCGGUCCGCCUCACCGCGUGCACUGGUCCGGCCGGGCCUUUCCUUCUGGGGAGCCGCAUGCCCUUCACUGGGUGUGUCGGGGAACCAGGACUUUUACUUUGAAAAAAUUAGAGUGUUCAAAGCAGGCCUAUGCUCGAAUACAUUAGCAUGGAAUAAUAGAAUAGGACGUGUGGUUCUAUUUUGUUGGUUUCUAGGACCGCCGUAAUGAUUAAUAGGGAUAGUCGGGGGCAUCAGUAUUCAAUUGUCAGAGGUGAAAUUCUUGGAUUUAUUGAAGACUAACUACUGCGAAAGCAUUUGCCAAGGAUGUUUUCAUUAAUCAGUGAACGAAAGUUAGGGGAUCGAAGACGAUCAGAUACCGUCGUAGUCUUAACCAUAAACUAUGCCGACUAGGGAUCGGGCGAUGUUAUCUUUUUGACUCGCUCGGCACCUUACGAGAAAUCAAAGUCUUUGG